rnacentral:rRNA from 1 species
GAUGAACGCUGGCGGCGUGCUUAACACAUGCAAGUCGAACGAAGCACUCUAUUUGAUUUUCUUCGGAAAUGAAGAUUUUGUGACUGAGUGGCGGACGGGUGAGUAACGCGUGGGUAACCUGCCUCAUACAGGGGGAUAACAGUUGGAAACGACUGCUAAUACCGCAUAAGCGCACAGUAUUGCAUGAUACAGUGUGAAAAACUCCGGUGGUAUGAGAUGGACCCGCGUCUGAUUAGCUAGUUGGUGGGGCAACGGCCUACCAAGGCGACGAUCAGGAGCCGACCUGAGAGGAUGACCGGCCACAUUGGGACUGAGACACGGCCCAAACUCCUACGGGAGGCAGCAGUGGGGAAUAUUGCACAAUGGGGGAAACCCUGAUGCAGCGACGCCGCGUGAACGAAGAAGUAUUUCGGUAUGUAAAGUUCUAUCAGCAGGGAAGAUAAUGACGGUACCUGACUAAGAAGCACCGGCUAAAUACGUGCCAGCCGCCGCAGUAA